AGAGUUUGAUCCUGGCUCAGGAUGAACGCUGGCGGCGUGCCUAAUACAUGCAAGUCGAACGCUUUGUGCUUAAUUGAUAUGAUGAGCUUGCUCUGAUUUGAUUUUUUGAUUUCAAAGAGUGGCGAACGGGUGAGUAACACGUGGGUAACCUACCUCUUAGCAGGGGAUAACAUUUGGAAACAAGUGCUAAUACCGUAUAAUACCAACAACCGCAUGGUUGUUGGUUGAAAGAUGGUUCUGCUAUCACUAAGAGAUGGACCCGCGGUGCAUUAGCUAGUUGGUAAGGUAAUGGCUUACCAAGGCAAUGAUGCAUAGCCGAGUUGAGAGACUGAUCGGCCACAAUGGGACUGAGACACGGCCCAUACUCCUACGGGAGGCAGCAGUAGGGAAUCUUCCACAACGGGCGCAAGCCUGAUGGAGCAACGCCGCGUGUGUGAUGAAGGGUUUCGGCUCGUAAAACACUGUUAUAAGAGAAGAACGGCACUGAGAGUAACUGUUCAGUGUGUGACGGUAUCUUACCAGAAAGGAACGGCUAAAUACGUGCCAGCAGCCGCGGUAAUACGUAUGUUCCAAGCGUUAUCCGGAUUUAUUGGGCGUAAAGCGAGCGCAGACGGUUAUUUAAGUCUGAAGUGAAAGCCCUCAGCUCAACUGAGGAAUUGCUUUGGAAACUGGAUGACUUGAGUGCAGUAGAGGAAAGUGGAACUCCAUGUGUAGCGGUGAAAUGCGUAGAUAUAUGGAAGAACACCAGUGGCGAAGGCGGCUUUCUGGACUGUAACUGACGUUGAGGCUCGAAAGUGUGGGUAGCAAACAGGAUUAGAUACCCUGGUAGUCCACACCGUAAACGAUGAGUGCUAGAUGUUCGAGGGUUUCCGC
rnacentral:rRNA from 1 species